UACGAAGGGUGCAAGCGUUACUCGGAAUUACUGGGCGUAAAGCGUGCGUAGGUGGUUUGUUAAGUCUGAUGUUAAAGACUGGGGCUCAACCUCGGAAAUGCAUUGGAUACUGGCAGACUUGAGUGUGGUAGAGGCAAGCGGAAUUCCAGGUGUAGCGGUGAAAUGCGUAGAUAUCUGGAAGAACACCGGUGGCGCAAGCGGCUUGCUGGGCCAUAACUGACACUGAGGAACGAAAGCUAGGGGAGCGAAUGGG
rnacentral:rRNA from 1 species